AGGCCUCUCUCUCCCUAUCUCUCUCUCUCUCUUUCUCAAUGAGUUUGUCGUCCCAAAAUUUCAUUGCUUAAAAGGGAUUUCUAUGCUUGACUUUAGCCCAACUCUGAGCCAUAGAUAGUUUCUCAACCUGGGGAGAGCUACGACUGCUGGAUUUGUGAUAGAUUGGUAUGUAACUGAUGAUUAUUCGAAUAGCCGGCCGCGCCAAUGUUGCUGAGAAUUUGGUUGGGGUAAAAUUAUAUAUGCUUGUUGUUUGUUUCUUCUUCUAUUUCCAACCUUUGUGGUUUUCAAUUUGUCCUCUCUUAUUGUUCCUUAUUUCCUUCCCAUAUGAAAUUAAGUAAUCUUUUAGAGUUCCAGUACAUUUAUAUUUCUCAACAUACUGAAUCUAUUGAGACGUUUCAGAAGUAAGAGACGAGUUGCCAUGGUUAUUGUUAGACUGAAAUUUUAGCUUUUGCAAGCAAGAGUUCAAGGGUUCUUGUAGAGAUCCGGUGUUCUUAAAUUUUCUAAGCAUGGUCUAUUUAAUUAAAGGUUGGAAAGUAAGAAAUGGGUUGCCUUAGUUACUCUGUUAAUAGACUGAAAAUUUGAGCUUCUGCAAACAGGUCUUGUUUAAUUAUGAAGGAGACCCAUCAAUUGUUUCUUGUAAAUUCGUCUCCAUACUCAGGUAUGUUUCUGAAUUAAUAAAAGGGAAUUGAAGAAACAUGAAAGAGUUCCUUGGUCUCUUGACUUGGUGGAAAUCUUAGCAAGUAAAAAAGUUAGUUCACUAUCACUAUUAUCAUGUUGUUAUUGGAGAUAACUACUAAGAGUUUCUCAAUUGAUUGGUCCACCAUCACUACUACUAUAAAUUGAUGAAGCACACAAUUACUGUAAUUUGGUUCAUUUAGCAGAGUCAGGAUCAUCUGCCCACGAGAACUUUGUUCACGCUUACCCACAAUACACUACCCCCCGUGAAUUAGGAACAUUUCCCCUUAUAUAAUACUAUGUAGAGGAAGAGAUGUUCUCCAUGUGUAGCUCCGAUAAACGUGGACAGAGUUCUCGUGGGCAGGAGAUCCGAACUCUGAUAAACGGCAAACACAUGCACACACAAACAACAAUUUGUGUAUAUAAAGGAUGUCCUUCUUGCAUUUCUUCGGUUUUGAGCUUUACUGGUAUAUCUCAUCCACCCUGAGAAACAAAUAAAGGACUAGAUUUAUUACCAUUUCUUCGGUUUUCUUUCUUUUUUUUUCCUUCCUUUUCCUCUUUAUUUCCUAAUUCUUGAUGAGACCAUCAUAGUAAUGUAAUUACAAGUCCUAUAAAUGGUGGUUCUUUACAACGAUUUUUCAUUAAUUAAUAGGCUCCAAUAUAUUAUUCUAUUCACUUUUGCUUUGAAUUUUACUUUCCUUCAGGUUUUAUUUUACUUUACACUGUAAAACAAACAAAACCAAGUGAAAUUUGAAACAAAAAUAUCGGAAUUUGCAUUCCCAUGCUUAUGCAUCAGUCAAAUAAAAUUGCACUGCAAACAAACUAAGCCUUAAGAAGAAUACAUCCAUGGUCCAAAAGAAGAAGUGUUCCGGCAUGAUCACUAUCUUAUUCAAAAUUUCUGCUAAGGCUCUUUGCAGUGCAAUUUCAUUUGCACCAAUACAAAUGCAUGAGAGUGCAAAUGAGAAAAAAUGUAAAUCCUGUUCUGGUUCACAUUGGUUUUGGGUUUUCCUUUACUUUGCUUGGCGUGUUAUCCUACUUAAUUUGCAAUGCAAAAAGACAAAAGAAAGAGCCGAAACCAAAAUAAAUCAGAUUUUCCACUCAAAUUACUUGCACUCCCAUACUUUUGCAGCAGUACAAAUGAAAUUUCAGUGCAAACAAGCCAGGCAUAAAGGAGGUUCACUUUCCCUUUUCUUCCUCUUCACUAAUUAUCAAGACUAAAUUUUACUAGGUAUCCGGUAGAGUAAUUGGCCGUGAAAUUGUUAAUAUUUGCUUAAGCACAAGCCUGUAUUUAAAAAAAAAAUGGAGGUUAUUCUAACUUUCUUUUUUUUUAUUUUUUAUUUUUGGUAAAUUAAAGGUUACUCGGUCUUCUCUACUAGUUAGGUUCAUACUUGCUGUAAGGUAAUCAUAUUGCAAGGCAGCAGAAUGGAAUACCGAAUACCUAACCUUUUUCUUCUGACGGUGUAUUUCGUGGCUAUUUUAAGCUGUUAAUAGCUUAACGAUAUUGUAGACCUUAAUCCUCACUUGCUGAAUGCCACAUUGAUCACCAUUCACAUCAUCCUUUUAUUUGGUAAUACAUGGCUAUCAUCUAGCUAGCCGAACUGCAUUUUUUUCCCUCCAUUUAGCUUUUUGAUUGGAGAACAAGAAUCUCAUGACAUGAAAGCAGCUGGAAUUUGUAAUUUAUUGAUCAUAUUGACUGAAUAUCUUCUUAAAACUGUUUAGUAUUUAAAAUAUAAACCAUUGAACGUCUGCAGGUUAAUGACCUUAAUUAUUAUGGAAUAAACUCUCAGUUCCAGAUAUUAUCAAUGG